UACGGUCAAAUCACGGGACUGAAAACACCGGUUCUCGUUCGAUCACCGAGCGUUAAGCAUCGUAAACAGCCAGGUCAGUACUUAGAUGGGGGACCGCUUGGGAACACCUGGUACUGUAAG